AUGCUGACCUCGCGCCGCUCAAGGAGCGUAUCAAGCCCGUCAUCAGCGGUAUCAACGGAAUUCAGAGGGUGGAGGACCAGCGCCGGGAUUAGUUUGGAGGGAGGCAGGCGUCGACCCAACCUUAUGAGUAUUCAGACUAUAACAGUUCCGAUGAACAGUCACUCACUUUUGACAGUUAUACGAUUCCAGAAGAUGAUCCAGAAUUGGGUCAAUCACGUUUAUUAG
rnacentral:rRNA from 1 species